UACCCCUCAACCUGGUUUGGCUCCAAGUAAGGGAAAGUCAAACUUCACACAUGAAGAGGAAGAACGCACGGAAAUCAACCCUAAUUCUUCUCAACUUGGCAAAAAUAAAUUUUCCGGAGACUGUGAAGUCCAAGGGAUAGCUAAUUCUUUUGAUCUCCUCGCAAACGUUACUGCCUAUGGAACUGCUGGAGACAAAGAAGAAACGG